AUGUCAUUUGGGACCCUUCACAACCAAUUUAAGCCCCUGUUUGAGUCCCUGGGAUAUUUCGAGCAGAUAUCUUUCAGUGUAGCCACAGCCAAGGACUCCAGAUUUCCAGAUUUUCAAGAACUGGACCUCUUUCAGCCUGAAAGAGCUUGUCAGGAUGUGGCGGGAACACUGGAGGUAGAUUACUUUUUAUUUUUUAAUUUUGGUAAUGUUGACCUUGCUGUGAGAAGAGAGGCAACAACUAGCAAGCACUGCCCCACCAGCGCUGUUACGGGGAAUUAGAAGACCUGAGUUUCUGCCCAGACCCUCAGUGCAAACUGAGGAUGCUCCAUCCAAAGUGAAUUACGUCCUGUGCCUCCUGAUUGCUGAGUGUUCACCUGGACCUUCUGACUACCUUGUACUAUUCCAUCAGGAUACAGAUCUGAUAUCUGGAUUUUUGCCCAUGGUGAUUCCAACCACCUUACUACUGAUGAAGACACCAUUCCAGUGAACCACUGUGACCCAAGAGACAUUUAGCCAUUAUGAUGUGGCCUUUACCUCCACUGCUGUCCUGUUCUACCCAGCACAGCCCUUUAUAGUGAAGUCAGUCCUCAAGCCAAAUAGCUGAAGCUAUUUUAUCACAACAAAGGCCUAGUUUGUUCCAUGAGUGUGCAUUUCAUUUCUUCAGUUAAAGCCUUCAGAGACACAUAAUAAAUUUGGACCAAGGGGUUUUUAGUUACUAAAGCUGUCUGAAGAAAGACAACAUCUCUUUAAGAACAGAAUUGGACCAUACCCCACAAUCACAAAUGAAAGUUUGUGAACUUUCUAGAAUCCCAUCAAGAUCACUGGACCCUGUUUUUCUACUUCAAAUCUGUAGUAGCCUACUGAAUGAGAAAGCAUUCUGACCCAUUUGGGAUCAAAACAAAGGCACAGUGAACUCCUCAUUGCAUCUUCUUUGGGAUUACUCAGGAACCAGAACUUUUCACACAAAUGUAAGAAAUUCUACCAAGGAAUCCCUUUACCUAACAGCAUCUCAAAAGUCUCCAAUCAGAUGCCAGGAAAGGCCUCUUGAUACAUCAAGCAUUUUGUGAACAACUUAUUCUUAGAUCAAUGGUUUUCCAAAGGCUUUGUGACCAUGAAGCCCUUUGAAUGAAAAUUAUGUGGAAGCCCAGAGUGAAAAUGAAGCUGCUCUGGGUGAAGCAGUGAAGCAAGCAUAGCAGCCUGAAGCCUGCCACAGCAUCUUCCUUAACUACAAUGGUGACACCGAGGAGACUUCUUACAACACCUAGAACUCUACAAAACACAGUUUGAAAACCACUGCCCUAGACAGCAAUAUAUUUGACCUGAAUGGCAUUGUGAUCUUUUUCAGUACCUCCAUUCAAUACCAACCAUGUUAAGUCGAUGCCAAACAUUUCUUAGGAAUACUAUGUGCAAACUUAGAGAAGUGCAAGAAGAUGGGCAUGUCUUUGCCCCCAAGAAUAGUCAUGUGGACUGAAAGUGCUGUCAAGUGAACCUAGUUAACAGCCUUCCACCUCAGAUGGACUUCCAGUUACUGUAAUUGGAUAUACCUAGAGAGCAAUUCUAUGCACCCUAUACUGACAAACCCCUUCAACCAACUUCUUUCACAACAAGAUACUCUAGUGGUACUUGAAGUGGAUGAUUUGAAGUCUUGAUUCUCCAUUGAUACCUGAAUUGUUGGCAAGCUGAUAUUAAAGGUGAUGCCAUGUUGAGGCCAACGUAGACCAACCUGUAUAUUUACGCUCUCAUCAGCCAUAGUACUCUACUUCAUGUGCAAGAGAUAACCAUUAACUAUGAAAGCAGAAUUCACAUGCAGCAAAUCCUAAAAGGACUCAGUACUUGUUCAUCAGUCAUCUUUUCAAACUGCAAGUCACUGUAUUGCUCAACCAGUGACAGUUACACUGUUCCUUGGUUUUAUUCAGUUUUUUCUACCAUUUCUGAGAUAACUGAGCUCAUAACUCUUUUGUAAAAAAAUCCCAAAUGAUUCCUUCACUGGCCUAUCUGCCUGUUUGCCAAUAUUAUGACUACUCAGUACUAACUUUGAAACAGCUGAUCCUCAAGAGACAAUCUUUGAAUAUCCUAUCUCAUAAAUGUGAUUUAAGAUGUAACCAUUGGAGAAGAGUUUUUCUAGUCAGUGAGAGAUGUUCUUUUAAGAUGAGUCUCCUCCUGAUGUCUGAUACUGCAAACCAUCAGUAGUAGAGUAGUUGGAGGCAGGCAUUUUGACCAGGCCAUGAUAGCUAGCUUACUUGCUCUGGUAUUUCAAAUAUCUUAUUGCCUACAUUUUUGCUAGAAACAUAGACUGACCUGAAAAAAAAAAAACCUACAAGGACUGCAGCUAAAGAUUUUAUUAGUAGACUCAAGAGCCUCUGUUCUUGUGGAAUCACAUCUGUCUCAGUGCUGUCACCUUACACUGAUUCAGAGUGGCUGACUUCAUUCCUUGCAAUGGGAUAUUCUCAGGCAUUAAGCUGACCUGUCUCUGUAGGAAAGAUUCAUGAACUCUGAGACCAUGUUGAACAAGGAGACUUUGAUUUGUGUUGUGAGGAAAUCUCAUCCCUUUUAUAUCACAAUUUAAGGUCCAGCUAUUCUGAGCUACUCUAAUGAAUGCACUGUUUAAACAUUGGGAAUAGUUAUAUCCCUGUCUCUUAUCCUGUAGACUAACAGUAACUAUAUGACUCACUCUCCAUGUCAUCAAACGAGGCCUAGGUCUGGUUCCUGUAGACUGCUCACCCUCAACAAAUAAAAAAAAUUGGAUGUUGAUUAGCCUGCUUCUAAAGAGGACGUUAUCUUCAAGCUCAGUUUUCUACCUUCCCAUUGUCAGCUCUUAUUUUCCCUCUUUUUCCCUAUACUUUACAGAAGAUACUCAUCUACACUGCCAGUCAUUGCCUUUAAUACUGUCUUACUGAGUAAAGAUGAGUUCUAAGAUGAAGAUGAUCAUCUGCUCAAGAGUCUUUAAUGUACACUGCAUAUAAGAAUUGGUGAUUGGAAAAACCAAAAGUCUAAAACUUAAACCUAGGAGCUUGCCAGCUAUCUUUAUGCCUCAGAUAUCUAAAUCUUUGAACAUGCCUGUUGAACCAGCCUGAGGCUUUCACUUGCUUGUAAGAUGUUUCUCAGAGAUGAGCUGAGUUAGAGAAGGUGAAAACUUUGAUUACCAAAGAAAGUAGGGCCAACUUUGACAAACAUGGCUCUGCUGCCCAGUAUAGCUCCCAGAUGUAGCAUGGGCUCCUAAACAGAACCUCAAGUCUGGAUUAAGGAUAUGGCCUUCUCUUCAGCUAAAAGUUCUUGAGCAGAUGAGCAGGAAAAUGAAAGCCUGAUGUGCCUGACUGGCCUUUUAAGAUUGGAAAAUGAUAUCCAGACCAGCCCUACUGAGUAACCCUCGAGUAACCAGGGUAAAACUCUUACAGAGCUUCAGUAUUAAUCUACCUAUUCUUCCAGAUCAUAUUCUGAUUAAUGGUAUGUGUGGCCCUACUGAAGGUACCUUGUUUAUUUAGCUGAAUCAAGCUCUUGCCUGCCUUUUUUGACACGUUGCUGCAAUCAACACUGACCUAUACCUGAGUUCAGCCUAUCUUGUGCCUAAUUCCACCAAGGAUUUUUGAAUAGAAGCAACCCACACCUCACUCCAUCAGAACUUAAGUAUAGAGGAAGAUUCUAUGCUUGUCUACUGUUUGAUCAUUUUCAUCACCUGGGAGACUUUGCCUAUCCUAUUUGGAAGGAUAUGGCAGAUCAGAAGCAGUAUCAGUUCUGUCUUCAGUAAUAACAGAGAUGAGUCUGGUCCACCAGUACUCACACGAAUGUACCAGUUCAACUUGGCAAAAGACUUAAACACAAGAAAAGUUUUAUGUUCACCUUAAAAUUUACCACUGACUCAACCUCAGAAUUUUUUGCAGUGAUAGGCAAGUUACUUUCACGUCAGUGAGAUGGUUGGGCUCUCAGACUCAUGACCACUGAGUUUUCUUAUGGUAGUGUCAUUCAUAGUAUGCUGUUGGACAUUAUUAUUCCAUUCAAAUGGACUACAGGCUUCCUGAGAACAGAACAAACUUAUCCCACAUGGUGUUUUUUCAGAAUGCUUUUAUUAUACCAAGGAAGAAACAGUGGCCAGCUGUUACCAUUCAACUUCUAGAGCAGAGGUGAAGCUUUUACAUUGUCUCCUCUGAUCCUGGACAUCAGUUGUUUUGGUUGCCCAGCAUCUGUUCCAUCUCAUUGUAACAACUCCCUGAUGUUUCUUGGGAUCACCUCUUUUUUUCAGUUCGUGUGGUUUGAGCAGUCUGACCCACCCUCGGACUUUGUGGGUGGACAUGUAAUUUGGACCUCAUCAAUCAACAAAUCCAUCUCCUUGACCAUGGUGAUUGGUUCAGGAAUGGUUAUAUAAUUUGAACACGUGAUACUCAACCCUAAGUUAAUAAACUGGAGGAAGAGAAGCCCUCUUUAUUGAGAUGCUUUAGCUUUGUAGAAUAAGAAGCUCAAACAGGGCCUACCACAUUGAACCAUUUAAAGAACGAAGCCAACGCAGAGGAAAGCAGAGCCAAAAUAUAGAGAGGCUUGAAUCCUGAUAACAACAUUUGUGCCCCUGGAUCCAACCGUGCCUGAAGCUACUAUAUCCCCUGGACUUUUCAGUUAUGUGAACCAAUAAAUACUCUUUUUGGCUUAAGUUA